rnacentral:lncRNA from 10 species
GAAGACCCUAUUUCCCUUCCCCUUGAGGGUGAGCUGCUUUUACUGUCUUGUUUCUAAUGAAUAGGAUAAAGAAAUUCAUCAGUGACUCGCUUCUAACGAAUAGAAUAAAGCAAAAGUGAUUGUGACAUUUCAGAGACUAGAUCAUAAAAAAGACAGUGCGGCUUCCUCUGUGCUCCCUCUCUAGUGGAGCACUCACUCUGGGGUAAGUUAGUUGUCAUGUCCUGAUGGCAUUCAAGUAACCUAUGGAGAGGCCCACAAUUUGAGGGACUGAGGUCUUCUGCCAGCAGCCACAUGACUGAGCCAUCAGUGAAGCAGAUCCUCCAGCUCCAUGCAAGCCAUCAGGUGACUGCAGACAGUGGCAGAUUUGAUAGAUGAGACUUCUUUCUAGGCAGGCUGGCCACCCUUUUCUUGAAAGAUUCUGUGUGGUUUCUGGCAGCUCUCUGUGUGUGAGCAGGGAGGGGAUGGCCAAACUUCCGCUGUCCUGGGCAGAGCACACCAACAUAUCUACUCUAUCUUUUCCAGGGGAAGGGUGGAUUAACUAGCACAGGUCUUGUUUUAGAAUGAUAGCACCAAGCAAGGAAAUUCUAGGAGGAGUUUUCAAGCUCCUCUACUCUCAAUAUGGAAGGCUGACUAAACUGGUGACUUUGAGUGUGUGUGGGAGCCACCUAGUAUAUCUCAUGACUCAGAACUUACAUGAGUCACUUCUAAGGCUAAUAAUGAGCUUGCAAGGUUAGAAGGGCUGUGUCUCCCUAAAGUCUGCUUUUAGACACACAUGCACCAGCCUUGUGCCUGUUCUAGGAUAGGUUGUGUGCUUUGUCUUGGGUACCCUGCUAUCACUGUUGAGAAAUUUCUCAGUCCACUGGGAGAAGAAAAUUGUUCAUUUCCAUGCUCACACUUCCUCUGCUCUCUCUGUCCUGAUUGGCUAACCAUGGUACUGGGGUGAGAAAGCUGAGACUAGUGGUGUUGCUAGAGCGAGGUUGUCUUGACUUAGAAGAGCUGAUUGUGAAAUUUUCAGAAAUUUUGCUUGCUGAUUAUUAGUCACAGCCAUUAUUAAAAAUUAAUGUACAUGGCAUGAAGCAUAUAUGGCAAGAUGUUAGUGAAUCUAACUGGUGUGUAUAUGGGUGUUCAAUGUGCUAUUUUUUCCUAUUUUCUGUAUGUUUAAAAGUAUAUAUUUAUUUUUUAAAAUUAAAAAGGCAACACAAACAAAAAAA